rnacentral:rRNA from 1 species
UACGGGGGGGGCAAGCGUUGUUCGGAAUUACUGGGCGUAAAGGGCUCGUAGGUGGCCAACUAAGUCAGACGUGAAAUCCCUCGGCUUAACCGAGGAACUGCCCUCCAAACUGCUUUGCUUGAGGCCGGGAGAGGUGAGUGGAAUUCCCAGUGUAGCGGUGAAAUGCGUAGAUAUUGGGAGGAACACCAGUGGCGAAGGCGGCUAUCUGGACGGUUUCUGACGCUAAGACGCGAAAGCGUGGGGAGCAAACAGG